rnacentral:rRNA from 1 species
GACGAACGCUGGCGGCGUGCUUAACACAUGCAAGUCGAGCGGUAAGGCCCUUUCGGGGGUACGACGAGCGGCGAACGGGUGAGUAACACGUGGGUGACCUGCCCUCAGCUCUGGGAGUAAGCCUGGGAAACCGGGUACUAAUACCGGAUAUGACCCCACUGACGCAUGUUGUGGGGUGGGAAAGCCUUGUGCGGCUGAGGAUGGGCCCGCGGCCUAUCAGCUUGUUGGUGGGGUGAUGGCCACCAAGGCGACGACGGGUAGCCGGCCUGAGAGGGCGACCGGCCACACUGGGACUGAGACACGGCCCAGACUCCUACGGGAGGGCAGCAGUGGGGAAUCUUGCGCAAUGGGCGAAAGCCUGACGCAGCGACGCCGCGUGAGGGGUGA